rnacentral:rRNA from 1 species
ACUCAAAUGAAUUGACGGGGGCCCGCACAAGCGGUGGAACAUGUGGUUUAAUUCGAAGCUACGCGAAAAACCUCACCAGGGCUUGACAUACAGGAAGUAGUGAAGUGAAAGCGGAACGACCCGUUAAGUCGGGAGCCUGAACAGGUGCUGCAUGGCUGUCGUCAGCUCGUGUCGUGAGAUGUUGGGUUAAGUCCCGCAACGAGCGCAACCAUUAUCCUUUGUUGCCACUUUUAUCGAGCUUGCUCGGUAAGAAGCACUCUAAGGAGACUGCCCGGGAUAACCGGGAGGAAGGUGGAGAUGACGUCAAGUCAGUACGGCCUUUAUGCCCUGGGCGACACACGUGUUACAAUGGGUAGGACAAAGGGUUGCCAACCCGCGAGGGGGAGCUAAUCUCAAAAACCUACCCCCAGUUCAGAUCGGAGUCUGCAAUUCGACUCCGUGAAGCCGGAAUCGCUAGUAAUGGGAGAUCAGCACGCUCCCGUGAAUACGUUCCCGGGCCUUGUACACACCGCCCGU